CAAGGUAAGCUGUCAUCAGUUGGAGGUAAGCGGAAGACAGUAGAGAGUACAGAGCCCUGGACUGUGACUCAGAGGAUGAGCACCAGAUCCAGUUUGCUGUGCCACAGUGUGGAUUUUUAUCUGAGAUCUACAACUUAUGAAGAAUACAAAUGAUGUAUAUUCUUUUCUACUCUUCAUGUAUGGACUAGAGGGGCUUGCACAUAAGAAAAAAAUGGCUGAGACCCACAGGAACAAAGAAACAGGACAGGAGUUAGAUGCAGAGAAGAGAUUUCAACAAAAGUUUGGAAAAGAUGCUAACGGUAGCAUAUGAGUCACAGACAGAACAUUGGCACCUUUGUUUAAGAAACUGAAUGUUAAUGUCACAUCUGCCUUUGGAGAUUACAAAUGAAAUGGCUACCUUUCUACUGGAACCCUGACCAGAAGUCUGCCAGUUAGUAAGCUGGCUUAAGAGAUCAAUCUAAAAUUUACAUAAGGCUUUUGAAAAAAAGAAAAAAGUAAGUCUUUAAAAAAGCCAAAAGGAAACUGGUGGAAUUAGAGGUAAUUCGGGGCGGGGGGGGGGG
rnacentral:lncRNA from 1 species